rnacentral:lncRNA from 1 species
AUAAACAAGUAAACGGAAGGCUUCAACAUGACCCUCCAGUUCAGUAACCAUUACUGCAGUAGCUGAGAACAACAAAAGAAACAAUAAACCAAGCUCAUUAAGUGAUUCUGACUGAUUUGAAAUUAAUCUGCAGUAAAUAGUAGAAUUAUAAUUCAAAAGAGAAUAUAACAAUUGAAGCAAUAUACCAAUUAAGGAAUUAAGUAGGAGAUAUACCAGAAUUUGUUAACCAAAAUAAAAAAGAAAACCUCCAAAGCUAAAGGAUUAAAAUGAACUUACUUCUGGAAACAUACUAGGACAAUCUGCAACAUGUUGGGCAAGAUUAAGAGAAGCCGGUGUAGUGAGUAUUUCUCCAGUAGUUAUAUGGCUGAAAUAGAAAGUAGCCAAGAAAUCCGCAGCAGAUGCACACUGAAAAAGCAUUAAAGAAAAAUGACUAAACUGAAGGACAUCUCAUGGCAUUAUAUUGUGUUUAUUACUUUAAGAAUGAUGCAAUAUACAUUAAGAAAUAGGUUUGCCAAACAGAGCAUCCUGAAGAAAUUCUGAGCACCAAAUUUAAGCAUAUCAACAUUAGAAAAGUUUUUCAACAAUGAAAUCAGUCACUAGUCUGCCUGAGAUUGACAGAAAAAUAGCAAACCAUAAUAUGUGAAUUUAGCAAAAUCGAGAUAACCAACCCUGAAACCUCAAGUUUAUUCUAGCAUCAAGCUACACAAUAGCAUCAGCUAUUUUCACUCGAAGAGAUCUCCUAACAGUGCCAAAAGCUAACUAUCUAAGACAAGCUUCAAUAUCCUCCCCCAGCUUUAGCAACGUUGCUACAGCAAGUCCAGUUUCACCCUAUUAUUACAAAUCAUUAGUUAAAUCAAAAAAGGGUCUGUCUCUAGUGGUGACGAUGGAAGAUGACAAUUUUCUCUUCCG